AUAGAGGAAGUAACAGGAAUUGUCAAAAGAGGCUGGGAAGUGAAACUGGCACCCUGUCCCCACUACAUCCUCUUCUACCCAUGCCCGGAAGUGGGUAGGGGGACAGGGUAGUGAGUGGAGGGAGGUGGGAGGGCCCCCUUUCAGCCGCAGGUCCCAGGAAGGUUGCUUCACACUGUCCCACUGAUCCCUGCUUCGGCCCUGAGAGCAGCCUGAGAUGACAGCACAGGGGCCCUUCUCUUGUUCCAAGACAGAAGGUAAAGCUCACCACUGACUCCCUGGACAGAGAGGAAAGGCCCAGGGCUUGGUGGCCAGAAGCCCUGGCCAGGUGGAAUCCCAGCUCUGCCACUAAAAGUGCUGUGACCACGGACAAGUGGCCAACUUUCUCUGAGCUGUGGUUUCCUCAUCUGUAAACCAAGCAAUGAAACAGUCCUUCCUCGUGGGGCUCUUGCGAGGAUUCUGCAGUGAUGAAUUUGAAAAACCAAGGAGGGGACAGACAGCAAACAGUAGCACCUCCAAGAUGAGUAGAGGACCCUUCUGGGUGGGGAGCAGGUGGCACGGCUGAUCUCUCUAGAAGGUGGGAGAAGGCAUGGCUCUCUGUGGGGGAGGACCGUGGCUGGGGUGGGUUGGCUCAUGUCCCCCCACCCUGGUGUGUUGACCUUAGAGCCUGAAAGGAGACACCGGGCUGGGGUCAGGCUGGGGCCCAGAGGCCCAGGGCCUGUAACAGGAUCUGCUGCCACCUGCCCCUGACACCAGCCGAGUUCAUGUUUGGUAGCAACUCAGCGCUGUUUGCUGGCUGACAACUGGGCAGGGCACAGCCCCAGGAAGAUGUGAGGUCUCACCUACUCUGCCCCGAGCCUAGUGCCGCACCAAGGGCCUGCAGGCAUCUUCCUGGCUCCCCGACUCUCCCAGAGAACAGGUCUCCAGGGAGAGGGUGGGAACAAGAACUGGCAUCUCAAUUCCAUCUAAAUGUCCCAGGUGAAUUCACCAUUCCUCAUCCCGGUAAGGGGGUGCCCCAUUCUGAGAGGAAAGACCAGACCUGCUGAGAGGCUCUCAGCUUCUGACCCUGCCCUGGGAGAUGCCAUAGCUGUGCUGGCAGCCCACAGGGAUUCGAAAGUGUUGUCCAAGUUGUUUAGGGUGACCAACCACCAUACCUCCAAGGGGGCACUUUGGGCAGUGACAGCCAAAGACAUGGGCUCUGGGGAAGUCCCCAGAAAUUCCCACCUCAGGACCUUCCUUCUUCUCUCCCUUCCUGGAUCUCAGGGAGUGGGGAUGUGUGGCCACAUCUCAUGUGCUCGAGACCCUGCUCUCCCAGGAAGCCUUCCCUGAGGAUGGAGUCCCUCCUGGCCACACAACCACCUCAGGGUCAUGCUUAGUUACUGUGGGGCUCAUGGAUGUGAUUCCUAUCCUGGCCCUCCCCAGGCUGAAAGGGACAGAGCCCCAGUCUCCUGCCUGCUUUGUUAUUUCCCAUGGGACAACAGCUCAACAGAGCUCAGGACGCAGCCCAGAUGCAGAGCCAGGGAACCCAGAGGCACCCACACGCUUCCAGGUAUGAAGCUCUGGCCAGGGAUGCUACCCACGCAGAGCCCGGAAAGUCCUGCCUGUUAAGGCCAUGAAGGCGUAGGACCUAAGGGGCCUAGAGCCUUGCUGGGGUCUGGGCUCACACUCAGCAGGGAGCCUCCCUGUGGGACCCAGGUCCUCUGCAGAGGCACAGUGUGUGGCCAGGGGCUAUGGCCUAGGAGGACAUGAGGGGAAAAGGGUCUUGCCUUUUCAGAAUCCCACUGCACACCAUCCCACCUCGUAAGUUCAGUGCCUGACGAUGCUCUCCAAGGGUGGGGCAGCACAAAGGUCUAGGGGUGUGCAUGCCUCUUCUUCUUUUGAGGGGGGCCUGCCCUGGGAAGCAGCUUGGGCGCAAGGCCAGCUGUGGGCCAGGCGGAGCCCUCCGUCCCCACCCCUGCCCUCAAGUAUUUAUAGAAGUUAUUUUGGGAAUUUUCUUUCUGAGCUCAAGGCACAUUCCUGGGAUUCUGUAACAGCCUUUCCAGCUGGGAAGCCGGGAAUCAGCUGGAAGCUGCAGCAGCCUUCUGGUCCCUGGAGCCUGUGUUUGGGGACACCAGGGCUGCUGUGAGGAGCCUGCUCUACAGGAAGGGCCCCUCCCUCUCAUCACCCUGGAACACGGACACACCCAUCCAGGAAGGCCCGCAUUCCGGCCCAGCUCCAUGCUCUCAGGAACUCUAGAUUCUCUCAGGUGUGUCAGCCUUAACCUGUCCAACCAGACCUGGAACGGGAAGGGGGAGGCGCCUCUCCAGGCUGAGAACCUCCCACUCCCAUCACCACAGCCCUCCUGGAGCCAGGGCAGCUCCAAAGCCACAGCUGGGUCCCACUUCCCUGUUGGGGGGAAGGGGCCCAAACCCUUCCAGCCCCACCCAGUGCUGGAGUGGGAUGUGUUCACCCCAGAUCCCCCUAGGCCUCAAAGGAAGAGGCAACUACUGAGAAGGGCCCAGAUUCAUAUGGAGCCCAACCUAGGUGGGGGUCUCCUGGGGCAGUGGGUGCCUGUCCCUUUCUCUUCUGGGGUCCUUUACAAGUGAGAUGUUAAAGAACACCAGUAGGCCUCUUCAGCUGGGGCUAGGGGUUGUCCAUUUUCAGAGGGACAGGGGCCAGCGGCUAGCGGCCAGGUGGGUCACAUCCUGGGGGACUUCGGAGCCUGACAAGCCACCAGGAAACUGACUUCUUUGCCAGCCAUCUCCUCUGGGCAGGGGACUGGGGCUUUUCUCCUCCCCUUCCUGGGCUGGUAUCAGGUUCUAGGUCUGCAGGGGCCUCUGCCCACCCUGGCGCACUACCUGGCCCACUCCUCCAGGCUCAGUCAGGAGGCUGUGGCUAGGCCUCUGGAUCUCGGGUUCUAGAAGUGAGCCCCCGUGUUGGGGAGUGAGAAGGGGGACCAGUCACAGCAGCUCCCCUCUCUGGGCAGGAGGCACAGCCUAAGGCACAGUGAAGGCCAGUUUGGGGAGGGGGUCUACUGGACAGGGGGAAAAGUCUGCACCUUUUCUCUCCAUGUAGGGUGAGUCUUUCUAACUCCUUUUUUGAAAAAAAUGAUUCUGGAGCUUAAUUAAGCCAGCAGUGCUCAAGUAUCAUUCUUUUUUUUUUUUUUAAAGACGGGUUUCAUCAUAUCGGUCAGGCUGGUCUUGAACUCGUGACCUCAGGUGAUCUGCCCGCCUCAGUCUCCCAAAGUGCUAGGAUUAUAGGCGUGAACCACCACGCCUGGCUCAAGUAUCAUUGUGAUCUGAAUCUAUGGCAGGCUUCCUCAUUAGAGCUGGUGACGGACUUCAGGAGCCUACAACAGCCUAAGGUUUUCCAAAAGUCCUGAGCCAGGGCUCAGGGUGUAUGCAGGGGGCUGUGCCAGCCCAGGGAUAAGGUGGUUGUAGAGGGGCCUCUGAUCCCCAUCGAGCAGGUGCUGCGGGACAUACCCUUGCACCCCCCACACCGUGGGCCUGCAGAACCCUCUACUUCUUUCUCCACUUUCCCAUCAGGGAGUGUGACCUCAGGCAGUACUGGAGAGGGGUGAAGAGAGAGCUCACAAUAAAACCACCACAUCACAGGUCACACAGCCAAGAUGUUCCUAUUGAACUUUCCUGCCCAGCAGAAGCAAGAUUCCAAGUCCUCUCAUGGCCUAGACCCCUCUAAGCUACCUGCCACAGCUCAAGAAAUGAACGUGGAGAGAGAAGCCUAGAGCUGGUGGUACGUCCUGGACCCUGAGACAUGGGCAUAAUCAGCAGAGGCCACUGGUCCAGGAACCCGGGACCCUGCUGUUCUGUACACGGAGCUCUGCAUAGUGUCGGGGCACCUCCAAAAUGCCAGGCACUGAGUGUCGCUCCUCAGCUGCUCAGAACGUCCUUCCUCCUUCAAGUCAGAAAACAGAUGCUGAACUAGAUGUUGAACCAGUAUGACGACAGGCCAGGGCCUCCUCAGAGCCUGCCACCGCAGGGCCUCCACCCCAAUGGGCACAGAUUACCCAAGGGGCAUUUGGAGAGAGAAGGUGCUGGGCAUCACAUGCCAUAAUGCUUCAGAAACUGCAUCCCAGCAAUUAUAUCACUAAAGCCAAAGCUCAUGCAGAGCCAUCUCCCCUCUGCUGCAGGGGUGCCUGAUGGGGAGGGGUUCUGGAGAGCCUGGAACUCCCUCACCAAGAAGAAAACAUGAGGAGAGGAGGGUCUGGGGCAGGGGAGUGACCAGGAAAUUCCUCCCCUCCAGUCUGCCCCUGGGAGAAGAGGGCAGAGUGCCACCCGCAGACACCUCGCCUGCCCACUCAUGCCUGAGAGUGUCAAGUUGUCUCUUGCAGUGCAGACAAGCUGCACUGAAGCAUCCACACUCUCCUUAGCCAAGCUGAGGGCAGGGAGAGUGGGUGGCUCUGUGGCCAGGGCUAGAACCUUCUUCAGGGGGUGCUGAAGGGUAGCAGAACAUGCCACCCAAAAAUAUGCCACCUGGGCAUAAGGAUCAUUUUGAGCUAAAGGCAACAGAGACAAGAAAAGCUCUCUGCCCUCCCACUAUUUGCCUAAAAGCAGGAUAUAAAUUUACAAGGGUGUCCCUCCUCCCUUCUCAACCAGGAAGGACAAAGGUUGAUUACAGAACACAAUCUUAGCCCCCUAUCAGCCUGGAGAUGACACAGAGGAAUCUAUAUAACAAGCUUUGCUAACUAGCCUUUAUCUACCAUUAGUUUCCCAUGGAUUUAUCUUCCCACAAUUUGCCAUCCUCAGAGACUCCAGGUCCUUUUUCUUUGUCUCAUUGCUUCUUUUAAAUUGUAUGCUCUUGGUUGAAGAUGCUAUGUAAGCCAGACUUCUAAGCCACCUCUUUAAACUUUUCUCAUUUUCCCUGAGUAUCUCCCAUGAGCACAUUUUAUACAUGUUAAUAAAGUUCUGUUUGUUUUUCCUUGUUAA